AAGAAAACGACAGCACCUACCAGAGCGAAGCCCGGAGGACGCCUCCCCAGAACUCACUUGGGUCAGACCUUAAUGGGAGAGCAGGGCUGCCAUGAGGCCGGCUGUCCCAGCCUACAAGGGGCUGUGUUGGCCGGAGGCCUGCGGCGCAUCCGUGAGAACCUCGCCAGGGACUCAGCUGAAACAAUGCCAGACGCGGCCUGUGAUUCCUCACGGGAUGGGUCUUCAUGCUGCCUCAGAGGCAGAUGGGACUGGGAAUGACCUCAGGAUAACACGCUCCCUCCACAUUAAAGGCCUAUGAGCUGACUGAGGCCAGUGCCCUCCCAUCGUGAGGUUUCUGAGGACUCUGGUGUGUCUGGGAGCAGCUGGAAGGCCUUCCUCUGGAACUGCGGGUGCGGCGAGCGGGACGAUUCCAUGGUCAGACGCUCUCGGUCACUGGCUCUGCCGGGGCCACGGAGCCCUGGUGACGUCCGAGCACAGGACGGUGCCUCCCGGCUGGGGAGCUGAUGCUGUCGGCACAGCAGAGCUGACAACAGCCUCUAAGACAAGGGCUGAAACCAGUCACCGGCAGGGGGGCAGCCAGGCCCGGUCAGUCAGGGGAUGAGAGGGACCCUCAUCCUUUCACGUUCCCACAUAAGGUGCCUGCCGGUGGGACGGGGAGACCUCACACGGCCUGCCCCAGGCUCUGCUCCAGGCCUGACGCCUGCUGGGCGCCCUCCCCUUAGCUCUGUCCGAGUUUCCCCUCGGCUCUAGGUCCCUCCCCACCUGCUUUUCUUCUUCCCCAAGAGACUCCCUGAACUGGAGAUCUGAGAGCAACACGUUUAUCAGGGAGGCCUUUGGGGUCAACGUCUGCGGGCUUGAGAAAUGGGGCUACGAUGCAGUCCCAGCAAAGACCUCAGAUUGGCUGGGGCGGCCCUGCAGACUUGUCCUGGAUGGGAGCCAGGGGACAGGAGCGGGUGUGACUCGGGUG